AUACGUAGGAUCCGAGCGUUAUCCGGAAUUACUGGGCGUAAAGGGCGCGCAGGCGGAUAUUUAAGUCAGCUGUAAAAGGCAUGAGCUCAACUCAUGUAUGCGGUUGAAACUGGGUAUCUAGAGUGCUGGAGAGGUAGGCGGAGUUCCCGGUGUAGCGGUGAAAUGCGUAGAUAUCGGGAAGAACACCAGUGGCGAAGGCGGCUUACUGGCCAGCAACUGACGCUGAGGCGCGAAAGCCAGGGGAGCGAACGGGAUUAGAUACCCCGGUAGUCCUGGCCGUAAACGAUGAAUGCUAGGUGUGGGUGUCGAGAGGCAUCCGUGCCGGAGUUAACGCGAUAAGCAUUCCGCCUGGGGAGUACGAUCGCAAGAUUGAAACUCAAAGGAAUUGACGGGG
rnacentral:rRNA from 1 species